AGGUCAUUUCAAAGAGGGCUUGUGGGACUGAAAGCAGGAGUUCUUAAUGCUGUGACCAAAGAUUGAGGUUCUCCAUAGGAUGACAGAAACUCGAUAGUGGUUUGUUUUUUUCCCUGAGGGAGAUACAAGA
rnacentral:snoRNA from 1 species